rnacentral:rRNA from 1 species
CCUUAGAUCGGAGAAUCUCGGGAACUGAGAAUAAUAUCUGAUAGGAAAUGUUCUCUGGAAUGAAACUUUUCUGAAAUUCGAGUCUAAGGGUGAGACUGCGGCUGAUUAGCUAGUUGUUGGUGUAACGGACUAACAAGGCGAUGAUCAGUAAGGGCUCUUAGCGGAGAAGCCCUGAGAAGGAAUCUGAGACACUAUUCCUAGCUCUACGGGGUGCAGCAGGCGAGGAAAUUUUCCAAUGCUCGUAAGAGUGAGAAAAUUAGCCAGAGUGUUUUCUUUAAGAAAACUUUUGUUUGCUGUAAAAAGGCAGACGAAUAAGGACUGGGUAAGACCGGUGCCAGCCGCCGCGGUAAUCCCGGCGGUCCAAGUCGCAUCCACAAUUAUUGGGUCUAAAACAUCCGUAGCUUGUUUUGUAAGUCUCUUGUGAAAUCUCAAAUCUCAAGUUUGAGACGUGCAAGAAAUACUGCUAAACUAGAGACCGGAAGACGCAAAGAGUAUGUUUGAGGUAGUGGUAAAAUAUGUUAAUCUCGAACAGACUAACAAUGGCGAAGGCACUUUGCGAGUACGGAUCUGACAGUGAGGGAUGAAGGCUAGGGGCGCGAAAGGGAUUAGAUACCCCUGUAGUCCUAGCAGUAAACGCUGCUCACUAAACAUUAGCACCUCCUCGAGAGGUGUUAGUGCUGUAGGGAAGCCGAAGAGUGAGCUACCUGGGAAGUAUAGUCGCAAGACCGAAACUUAAAGGAAUUGGCGGGGGAGCAC